rnacentral:rRNA from 1 species
AUCGAACGCUGGCGGCAGGCCUAACACAUGCAAGUCGAACGAGUGGCGGACGGGCGAGUAAUGGCUGGGAAACUGCCUGACGGAGGGGGAUAACUAUUGGAAACGGUAGCUAAUACCGCAUACCAUCGGAUGUGCCCAGAUGGGAUUAGCUAGUAGGUGGGGGAAAGGCUCACCUAGGCGACGAUCCCUAGCUGGGCUGAGAGGAUGACCAGCCACACUGGAACUGAGACACGGUCCAGACUCCUACGGGAGGCAGCAGUGGGGAAUAUUGCACAAUGGGCGAAAGCCUGAUCCAGCCAGGCCGCGUGUGUGAAGAAGGCCUUCGGCUUGUAAAGUUCUGUCGGCGGGGAAGCGUUACCCGCAGAAGAAGCACCGGCUAACUCCGUGCCAGCAGCCGCGGUAAUUC